UAUACAUACUAUGCCUCCUUCCUUACCAGCCCCUUAAAACUAGGUCACAAGCACUGCUGCUCAACAGCGGCAGCCAAGGAUGAAAAUCACCUCUUACGCAUUUUUACUGCUGGACACUUACUGAGGUAUAGCCUACCAUUUCUGACUUAUGCUAAGUGUGCUGACAACAAAAGGCAACCUUGAGAAAAACAGUAAUUUAUGGUUCUACGUGUCUACCACAACUGGGGCCAUCAGCCUUUCCACAUAUAACAAAACCGGGUGAAAUCAUACAAAAGGAAUAUGGAGGAACAUGGCGUAGAAGUGGCAUGACUGUACUAAAAGGACAAUCUACUUUAAUUUUAUG